GUGAAUCAUCAAAUUUUUGAACGCAAAUUGCACUCCCUGGUAUUCCAGGGAGUAUGCCUGUUUGAGGGUCGGUUGAAGAAAAAUCGAAGCAUCGCUCUUUUUUUUGAGGGUGAUCGCGUUGGAAUUGAGCUGUUUUUUAAAUGUUAAUUCAUGUCAAAGUGGCUUAAAAUCCAUCUAUCCGGUAAGAUUAAAGCGUAUUUAAGAUCAAUCUUGAUUAAGAACGCGCGAUGAA
rnacentral:misc_RNA from 1 species